rnacentral:tRNA from 1 species
AUAUUUCAAAGAAAUACCGAUUCGUAAUCAGUAGGUCCGGGGUUCAAUUCCCCGU